rnacentral:rRNA from 1 species
GCUUACGGCCAUACCACCCUGAACAUGCCCGAUCUCGUCCGAUCUGGAAGCUAAGCAGGGUCGGGCCUGGUUAGUACUUGGAUGGGAGACCGCCUGGGAAUACCAGGUGCUGUAAGCU